CUUCUUUUGAGGAAAUUUCUGCUCUCUCAUUAUGGGCAGUACGUGUAGGAUUACAAAUCAACACACCUGACUUCUUUUAGCAGUGAGCAAUGGUAGGUUCAUAGCAUGGUGGAGAGCAUACAUAGAACCAAAGCCACUUACAUUCUCUGAGAUCUGAACCUUGAGUGAAGUAAGCCACAGUCUGUUGCUGUUACUUGCAAACAAAGAACCUUCAAUCACUUUAAGGUUGACUAAGACAGCACUUCGUUCAGUCGGGACUUUGGCAUCUAAAUUCUGCCACGAAGAUGUCGCCUGCAGACCUGAAGUCUGACGAUACAUCACUCGGUAGCCUUGGAUAAACUGGGGUUGGCGAUCAACCUGAAAAACAUAGUUAAGGGCAUUUGAAACUAAAGGAAAGUAUUUUAGACAACACAAUGAAUUUGUCCUCUUUUCAUUUGUCCCAUUUCUGUCCUCAUAACUAUCAACUGAGUGAUGUCAUGACUUUCUAGCUAAUCUCUCUGCUUCUAAUAACUUCUAUCCUUUUAGAGUUCAGAUUGCUCCUAAGAUUGUUUCCAAAAUGAAGAUUGGGAGAACUCUCUCUCCUGUUUAAAAUACCUCACAGUAUCUAAGAUACCAACCUAAUUAAUUAAGAUGCCUUGGAUUAGCACAAGGGCCUCUCAAAGGCCAGACCUGCCAGUAUCUCUAACUUUAUGUCUCCUCUGCUUACCCAUUUUCUGCAUCCAACAAUUCCCUUUUAUGUGGCUUUAUAUGUAAUAUGCCCUUUGUCAGGGAUUUCCAUUCUCAUUCUUUGUCUAUUCACUAACAUCAUCACUCAAUCAAAACACAUGUUUUGGGUUCCUACUCAUAGGUGCCAGAAAUUCUGCUGAGCUCUGGGGAUAAAAUGGACAAUGAAAAUAGAGUCAGCCCCUGCCCUCAUGAGCUGAGGUGAGAAGAUGGAGUCCAGGUAGAAGGUGGAAGCAGAAAUGAAAACACUGAACAUUUACUUUAAAAAAAAUAGAGAAGAGAUUACUAUUAACAUUGCCUUUGAAAGCUUACCGUCCAUGUGACCUGAACCGUGGUGGGAGUCAGCACAACUGGAUUAUGAAGACGGACAAGGACAUCUCCUAGCUCUUUCUGCACUUGCCUGUGGUCCACUCCUUGUGCUGGUGGGCUGAUAUCUGCAGUUAGAGAAGAGAAUCAUUCCCACCUUUAAAAAUUCAUAUUAAAAUUACAAUUUAUUUUAUGUAAAUCAACCUCAUGUCUUUAGAACUAAUUACAGGGAAACAAAACGAAAACUCUCUUGUGACAAAAAGCAUUUAAGCCUAUAUAUAUAAAUAUACCACUGUGGUAGGACAUAAUGAAAGAUGAUAUUGAUCUUUAUUAAAAAUAUACUAAUAGAAGAGUAUUUGUAAUCCCUCAUCCGCAUUCAAAUGCAGACACACUGUUGUAUAAGAUCACUUACUUUAUUACUAAAGGAUAAAGUAUGUGCUGUAAGACUUCUCUACAGAAGUCUAGAAAGAUCUCUAGAAAGAGCAGCUUUGUACAGAUGUUGGUGUAUUGAAUGAUUUUCUGGAUGUGUAAAUUGGGAUAUAUCUAAAAACUGAUGCUAAGGGACCUGUUAAUCCCUUGUCCCAAUUUGCAGGUUGUGUUUUCUUCUUGACCUACUUCAGUCUGGGAGCAUGGAUGGAGAAGUAAUGGUGGACUAGGAAAGUGAAUUCUGUCAUUAAAGGACUGUAGUGCCCAUCUUACUAGGAGACUCUCUUCCUUGCUGACUUGGAGGAAGCAAGUAGUCAUAUGGGGAAGAUCCAGAUGGCAAGGAACCAAAGGCAACCUCCUGCCAACAGCCAUUGAUAAGGUGAGGUUGUUAGUCCAGUAGCCACAAGGAACUGAGUGCUACCAAGAAUAAUGUUGAUUGGAAGCAAAUCCAUCCUGUGUCAAUCUUCAGAUGAGACGGCAACUCUAAAUGACACCUAACUGGAGCCUUGUAAGACCCAGAAGCAAAAGACACAGCUCAGUCAUGCCUAGGCUCCUAACUCACAGAAACUGUGAUGUAAUAAAUGUGUGUUGCUUUUAGCCACUGUAUUUUUGUUCAUAUUGUUCCAUAAUAAUAGAUAACUGAUACAAUAUUCAGAAGUAGACAUUUUAUUUUGAGUUGCUCCUGAAGCAGGACUGACUUGUUAAGUUGCCAGGAAUGCUCAUUUUUUAUCAUGUAAACGUCAGUAAAAAACCACCAAUGCCUUGUUCUUUCCAUGGGUUUAAAUCUAAACUACACAACAACUUAACCUACAACCUAAGGUUUCCCACUAACCAGGCAAACUCGCCGUUUAUGUACUCAGUCUCAUCUCUUUAUUUUUCUUCUACUCAACUCUUUGGCCAAGCCACUUUAUCUACAUUUCCUUACAAUUUCUUUUGCGAAUGAAAGUAAAUCAGAAGCAUUUGUUGUUUUUGUCAUUUCCAAUACCCUACUACUCAUAUUAAUGCUAUGUGUUUAAGAUUUCUAGAUUUGUUGACUGUAUACAUAUGGAAUGGGAUACAGGAAUAAAAGUUUCGAGAUUCUGUUAUGAAUGUGUGAGUAACGUAAAAACUGUGACCUUUCCUCUAAUUUCAUUUCAUCAUUUUUAAAAUAAGUAAUAACAUUAACUGUUUUUAAACGUGCAGCAAUUAUACUAGGAUGUAAGAUUUUAAGUUCACUAUGCAAUUUUUCCAUAGAGCAGUACUUAUGUGUAGAUGAUAAUUCAUGUACAAGUCCAAUAUUACUU
rnacentral:lncRNA from 1 species